GCCGGGAUGGUGGAAUUGGUAGACACGCUACGUUCAGGUCGUAGUGCCUGUUAAAGGUGUGCAGGUUCGAGUCCUGUUCCCGGUA
rnacentral:tRNA from 1 species